GUCUACGGCCAUGCCAUCCUGAAUGUGCCCGAUCUCGUCUGAUCUCAGAAGCUAAGCAGGGUCGGGGCUGGUUAGUACUCGGAUGGGAGACCACCUAGGAAGACCAGGUGCUCUAGGCA
rnacentral:rRNA from 1 species